UCCGGUAAAUGGCCACAGGAGGGCAGCAGAGAAUUAUAUUUGGACUCGAAAGAUUCCGCGUCGCCCUUCAAGACUUCUUUCCGAGAGUCGGGAACUCACAGCCUCCAUUUUGGGAUGGAAAGAGAAGGUUGACGUGGCUGAUCAAGGACCUGCCAACAAAGCAAAGGAGACUUCUCUUUAUUCUACCUGUGAUGCUCCCAGCCCUCCAAGCAACAACACUUUCCCCCUUCCCACAGAAAAACUGAUUUUGGAGCUACCGGUCACCUUCUUGUGUGGGGUGGAAGGACUUGACUUGAACAAAACUAUGGUGAGGUGGUUCCACAAAGGUGAAGCAGAAGCCGUUUCUAUCGCCUCCUUUGGCGGCCCUUCGCACCACGAACUUCUCUACAUUACUGGAUUCCACGUCCGUCUGGAGGACUGGACCCCUGGAGAGACUUACGACUGUGUGGUGCAGGCAGAGCCCACGGAUGAGGACACGGGCAAUGCUUCAGCCUCCAACCAGACCCUCUUCAAGCCCCACUUCAUGGAGGACAGCAAAGAAUCAAAGAUAACCCUUAUCUGCAUAGUUAUAGGAUUUUAUCCAGACAUCGACAUCCAGUGGCAGAAGAAUUUUGGCCCCCUGCCUGAAGGCGUCUUUACCUUCCACAACAGUAACAAGGAAGAUCCCUUUGUCAUGUACAGCAGAAUUACUUUCCCCAGUACAAGGGCGUUAUUUGAAGAUACCUUCUCAUGCAGAAUUGAACAACAAGAGCUCCCAAUUCAGCCCACCCAGAAGGCCAGGAAGAAAACUGGGGCUGAAGAAUAAAGACCAUCCCUGGUCCAGCGUUGUGUUAUCUCCUUUCUCCAACCCCAGAACUGGCUUUACUGCCAUCAGAUCAAGCCAUUUGAGAAUCAUCUCCAUGAGCUCCUUUGUGGUCAAUGGCUAAAUAAAAGACAAGCCCACAGAAUGCUGGGGCACCCAAAAGA